UACGUAGGGUCCGAGCGUUGUCCGGAAUUACUGGGCGUAAAGAGUGCGUAGGCGGCGUUCCAAGUUUGGUGUGAAAUCUCCCGGCUUAACUGGGAGGGUGCGCCGAAAACUGGGGUGCUAGAGUGCGGGAGAGGUAAGCGGAAUUCCUGGUGUAGCGGUGAAAUGCGUAGAUAUCAGGAGGAACACCGGCGGUGUAGACGGCUUACUGGACCGUGACUGACGCUGAGGCACGAAAGCGUGGGUAGCAAACAGG
rnacentral:rRNA from 1 species